UACAGAGGGUGCGAGCGUUAAUCGGAAUUACUGGGCGUAAAGGGCGCGUAGGCGGUUGAUUAAGUUGGAUGUGAAAUCCCUGGGCUUAACCUAGGAACUGCAUCCAAUACUGGUUGACUAGAGCGCAGUAGAGGGUAGUGGAAUUUCCGGUGUAGCGGUGAAAUGCGUAGAUAUCGGAAGGAACACCAGUGGCGAAGGCGGCUACCUGGACUGACACUGACGCUGAGGCGCGAAAGCGUGGGGAUCAAACAGG
rnacentral:rRNA from 1 species